AGUGAACGCUGGCGGUAGGCCUAACACAUGCAAGUCGAACGGCAGCACAGUAAGAGCUUGCUCUUACGGGUGGCGAGUGGCGGACGGGUGAGGAAUACAUCGGAAUCUACUUUUUCGUGGGGGAUAACGUAGGGAAACUUACGCUAAUACCGCAUACGACCUACGGGUGAAAGCAGGGGAUCUUCGGACCUUGCGCGAUUGAAUGAGCCGAUGUCGGAUUAGCUAGUUGGCGGGGUAAAGGCCCACCAAGGCGACGAUCCGUAGCUGGUCUGAGAGGAUGAUCAGCCAAACUGGAACUGAGACACGGUCCAGACUCCUAAGGGAGGCAGCAGUGGGGAAUAUUGGACAAUGGGCGCAAGCCUGAUCCAGCCAUACCGCGUGGGUGAAGAAGGCCUUCGGGUUGUAAAGCCCUUUUGUUGGGAAAGAAAAGCAGCAGGUUAAUACCCCGCUGUUCUGACGGUACCCAAAGAAUAAGCACCGGCUAACUUCGUG
rnacentral:rRNA from 1 species